rnacentral:rRNA from 1 species
AUUGAACGCUGGCGGCAGGCCUAACACAUGCAAGUCGAACGAGUGGCGGACGGGUGAGUAAUGUCUGGGAAAAUGCCUGAUGGAGGGGGAUAACUAAUGGAAACGGUAGCUAAUACCGCAGACCAACGGAUGUGCCCAGAUGGGAUUAGCUAGUAGGUGGGGUAAGGGCUCACAUAGGCGACGAUCCCUAGCUGGUCUGAGAGGAUGACCAGCCACACUGGAACUGAGACACGGCCCAGACUCCUACGGGAGGCAGGAGUGGGGAAUAUUGCACAAUGGGCGCAAGCCUGAUGCAGCCAUGCCGCGUGUAUGAAGAAGGCCUUCGGGUUGUAAAGUACUUUCAGCGGGGAGGCGUUACCCGCAGAAGAAGCACCGGCUAACUCCGUGCCAGCCGCCGCGGUAAUAC